CCUACGGGUGGCAGCAGUGGGGAAUAUUGGACAAUGGGGGAACCCUGAUCCAGCCAUGCCGCGUGUGUGAAGAAGGCCCUCGGGUUGUAAAGCUCUUUCAGUGAGGAAGAACGCCUGGUGGUUAAUACCCAUCAGGAAAGACAUCACUCACAGAAGAAGCACCGGCUAACUCCGUGCCAGCAGCCGCGGUAAUACGGAGGGUGCGAGCGUUAAUCGGAAUUACUGGGCGUAAAGCGCGCGUAGGUGGCUUGAUAAGCCGGUUGUGAAAGCCCCGGGCUCAACCUGGGAACGGCAUCCGGAACUGUCAAGCUAGAGUGCAGGAGAGGAAGGUAGAAUUCCCGGUGUAGCGGUGAAAUGCGUAGAGAUCGGGAGGAAUACCAGUGGCGAAGGCGGCCUUCUGGACUGACACUGACACUGAGGUGCGAAAGCGUGGGUAGCAAACAGGAUUAGAUACCCGAGUAGUC
rnacentral:rRNA from 1 species